GAGACCGAUGCAGGACUCUAUCCUGGGUCCCCGGGGUCACGCCCUGGGCCAGAGGCAGAUGCUCGACCACUGAGCCACCCAGGCAUCCCAUGUUCUGUGGGUUUUUUGAGGUUUUAUUUUAAACCCCCUCUAGUCUCCUAGCAUUGCUGCCCUGCAGCAGCUUCCCUGGUGCAGACAUCUCCCGUGCCCUGGCCGCAGGAUUGCCGCUCGUCCCCGGGACUGCAAGCAGCCUCUCCAUCCUUGACCUCAUCCUGUCUGCAACUGUCUCCCCCAGUCUGGACACCUUUGAAGAGACCUGGCACUCUGGAGUUGGCCUCGGGCUCGGGGUGAUCCCGCAGAGCUGGCACCCUUGUCUUGGCCCCAUGUCGGGGUACUGGCCGCAGUGACCCAGGCCUGGAGUGCCCUUCCAUGUCCCCCGCCCACUGUCUCCUGGGAGAGGCUGGGCCACGCUCGGACCGGAGGGGUGUUGCUGUGCCGCAGGGUAGGGCCCCUGCCACGACCCGCAAGACCACGGGGGACCGGCCGAGCUUCUCCUGCGAGGGUGGCGCUGGCCCCGCGCUGCCUGCCGUCUGCCCUCCCUCUGCACCGCGGCGCUCACCACCGCAUCCCGCACUCAGUUCCAUGAGUCCGCGCCCCGCCUGGAGGGAGAGGCCUGUGGAGCCAGCUGCGAGCCUCCCCCGUGGACCCCGCCGGCAGCCGCUCCUCCUCCACCCCUGAGCCCACUGUCAAGAUCUCAUUUACUUAUUCAUGAGAGACACAGAGAGAGGCAGCGACACAGGCAGAGGGAGAAGC